UGCGCAGGCGGUUUUGUAAGACAGAUGUGAAAUCCCCGGGCUUAACCUGGGAACUGCGUUUGUGACUGCAAGGCUAGAGUACGGCAGAGGGGGGUGGAAUUCCGCGUGUAGCAGUGAAAUGCGUAGAUAUGCGGAGGAACACCGAUGGCGAAGGCAAUCCCCUGGGCCUGUACUGACGCUCAUGCACGAAAGCGUGGGGAGCAAACA
rnacentral:rRNA from 1 species